rnacentral:lncRNA from 1 species
AAAAUACAACGUUUCUUUGCGCAAAAUGGCUCACAUACAGGUCCUUGAGAUGGACGACGUUGCGCGUCCACUUGCCCAGCUCAUGAAAAUUUCCUGUUC